GCAGACAUCACUGGAGGGGGAAGGGGGACACUACAAUGCUCUCUCCUUCCUUCCUCCAAAGUCCCCAAGUCACUCUCACACAUGGAUCCUUCUAUCUGUGUCCUCCUACACACCCACCUAUCUACCUGUCCUGGAGCUAGCCAUGAAUGCAACUCAGAGCUCUCUGAAGACAUUCAAGUGGACGAAGAUGACAGGUACCUAGACACAAAGCACAAUGACCAGUGCCCACUUAACCCAACAGGAUGCCUGCAGCACAUCUGCUCCCCUGGCCACCUCCACGGUCCUCUGAGGGGCCCCAUUGCAAAUUCUCAAGCCACCUCCAAACCUUCUCUCCACAUGCUCACUAACAGAGGGAAAUAACAACUGGCUGGCAACCUACCUACCUACCUACCUACCUACCUACCUACCUACCUAUUACCUGCCUCUUGAUCACCAAUAUAUACAGUUCCAGGCACAGUUUCCAGGGCAGACGGGCCUCUUUUGGUUCCCCAUGAUGUAUACCAUGGCCAUGUGGGAAAUGCUUUCAUGACCCACCAGCAAGCCUUCCUUUUAUGAGCACCGAGAGUCUCCAGAGGUCCACCCCCCUGCACUGCUGAGAUCUUAGCUCACAGCUUGUGGAAGAAGACUCCUCUAACAGGCUGCAGGAGACAAGUCUGACAUUGCCUCCCAAUUCUCCUUCCCCACCAAGCUUCCGGGAGGCAUCUGCUCUGAUACAACCAUGAGGACUCUCUCUACCAAGGCAGGCCUGCUCUGAGUUCUCAGAGGUGCAAGGCCUGCAACUCCAAGUAAGGACAGAUCCAGCCAUCCUCCAUAUUAUUUGUUAUGCAGUUGUGUAAUCCACCGAAGCAGAAGUAUCAUCAGGAACAACUCCUCUGCCUUAGCCCUGAGGCCUUUAAGUACCACCUGCACACCUGAGGGAGCAUAUGAUUCUGCAGCAGAGUGGCUUUCCGUGCAUGCACAAGGCUUUGGUAUCUACAAUCAGUGCUGCAGUAAUCAGCAGAACCAUAAUUUCCUACCUGCCCAGGUCCACAAGGAUAAAAGAACCUCUAGUGGAAUCACCAUGCCCGACCUAAAGCUGUACUACAGAGCAAUUGUGAUUAAAAACUGCAUGGUAUUGGUAUAGUGAC
rnacentral:lncRNA from 1 species